rnacentral:rRNA from 1 species
ACGAGUUUGAUCAUGGCUCAGAGCGAACGCUAGCGGCGGGCUUAACACAUGCAAGUCGAGCGCCUUACUCGGUAAGGAGCGGCGGACGGGUGAGUAACACGUAGGUUAUCUGCCCCGGGGUGAGGGACAACUGAGGGAAGCUUCAGCUAAUACCACAUAUGGCCUACGGGUCAAAGGCUUCGGCCGCCCUGGGAUGAGCCUGCGUCCCAUUAUUUAAUCCUAGUUGGUGGGGUAAUGGCCUACCAAGGGUACGAUGGGUAGCUGGUUUGAGAGAAUGAUCAGCCACACUGGAACUGAGACACGGUCCAGACUCCUACGGGAGGCAGCAGUGGGGAAUAUUGCGCAAUGGGCGAAAGCCUGACGCAGCCACGCCGCGUGAGUGAUGAAGGCCCGAGGGUCGUAAAGCUCUGUCGGGAGGGAAGAACAAAAUGACGGUACCUCCCAAGAAAGCACCGGCUAACUCCGUG